ACCUGAUGAUGUUGGCAUUUACGGAGUAAGUCCCUAAAGCGCUCCCAAGUCUUAAAAAAGAGUUCUCUAUCCAUUUGUAUGAAACUUGGGAUGGCUCUCUGAAGCU